GACGAACGCUGGCGGCGUGCUUAACACAUGCAAGUCGAACGAUGAAGCCGGAGCUUGCUCUGGUGAAUUAGUGGCGAACGGGUGAGUAACACGUGAGUAACCUGCCCUUGACUCUGGGAUAACUGCUAGAAAUGGUAGCUAAUACCGGAUACGACCCUCGGAGGCAUCUCCAGGGGGUGGAAAGAAUUUCGGUCAAGGAUGGACUCGCGGCCUAUCAGCUAGUUGGUGAGGUAACGGCUCACCAAGGCGACGACGGGUAGCCGGCCUGAGAGGGUGACCGGCAACACUGGGACUGAGACAGUGCCCAGACUCCUACGGGAGGCAGCAGUGGGGAAUAUUGCACAAUGGGCGCAAGCCUGAUGCAGCAACGCCGCGUGAGGGAUGACGGCCUUCGGGUUGUAAACCUCUUUUAGUAGGGAAGAAGCGAAAGUGACGGUACCUGCAGAAAAAGCACCGGCUAACUCUGUGCCAGCAGCCGCCGUAACAC
rnacentral:rRNA from 1 species